UGCACUGCUCUCAUAUGGUGGUUACAGCUGAUAACGCCGUCUCCGACCAACGCCACCUUCAGGUUCCCCCCACCAGGUGAAUUCCAGGCUUCAGAGGAGAGUGCUGGUCCAACAAAAAUAGACCUGAUGAUUGAAGAUAGCAGAGCAGAUAAAAGAACUGCAAGAGAGAUGGAAGCAGAAAUAUAUCCAGCGGACGUUUGGGGAGUGUCCUGGCUCCACGUUCAUACUGUACCGUACAGUCUGGAUGUUCUUUCGUCACAUACAUUCUGGAUCUGAUAGGAACUGGACUCCAAACAUCAGGGCGGUUCUCCUGUAGAAGUUUCUGCCGUCAUUGUACUCCUCCUGCUCCCAUAAAGACAGUAUUGAUGGGAGGCAGCGAAGACACCAGGUCCUGCACCUCUGAGGAUGACGGCACCCGCUGCUGAGAAAGCAGUGCAUCCUGGGAGGUGAACGGAGAGAUUUAAACCUGACCUCCUCCGGUUUCGGCCUCGGUGAAAUACGCUCCUGUCGUUUUCCUUCCCGGUUCGUCCAGGAUGUUGAGGGGAUCGUGGACUUCAGAGUACGCUGAAGGGAACGGGCGCAGGCUGCCUACCGUGCUGAUGACGGACACGUGCUGGUCAACCAGUGAUGUCAUGCGCUGGCUGUCCAGCAGGUUCUGCAGGUCCUGCUCCUUGUCGUUGUUGAACUGAGUCUCCAGAGCCAACAGGAUGUAUUCGUCCAACAGCAUCCGGAUCAGAUGGAAGGAACCUGUCAGAGUCGACGAUGAGAAAAGAGAGAAUUAUACCUAAAAAAUAUGAGUCUGACCUUUAGGAUCAAGCUGCUCUUUGUUUGACCUGCGGGGUCGUGUGUGUUUGAGCUUCCCCGGGACUCUUCAGACCAAAUGGGAUGAAACAAAGUGGCGUGCUAUGGGGAGCUUCUUGGCUGCAAGGCAUUCUGGGAGGUUCUCCAGGGAGGAGGCUAACCAGUGCUCCCAGUGUUUGGCAAAGUUGCGGAUAUCUGCCAACAGACUGAUAAAUAAUAUACAGAUCUCUUAUCAAUUCCCAAUUGAUUAAUUAAAGCUUUCAUCUCUUUUUAUAUUAUUGUAGUUCUAAAUAACUGUUUUGGGGUAGAUUGCACUUAAAACCUGCAUCCUCGUCUCUACAGUAAAGAAAAUGGGUAAAAUUGUCAUGACUGAUGGGAAUAAUGGCCAAACCUCCAACAUUAAGAUCCAGGCAUCACAAACUGGGCUAAAGCUUUCUGUCAAUCAGGAAAAUUACUUCCAACAUGUCUUAUCUUUUCUAGGCUAUGGAAGGGUUUUAUGGGGGUUUAUGGGAAAUAAUUCCCAUUCUUACUUUUUUUUCACCAGCAACUGAUUUGACAAUAAUACAUGAAGUGCAAAUGAAGUAACAAACCUUUCAGGCAUCUCCUGCAUUGUAGCUGGAAUCAGAACAUCUGUUAAAACCUGAGAGAAUAAAAAAAAACAUUAUGAUAAACCAGGCGGCAAUCCGGGUCUGAAAAGUGAAGCCAAUGUGCCUUAAACUUGCAUUAU